rnacentral:tRNA from 1 species
CUCCCGGUGUCGGAACUGGCAUACGAAACGGUCUUAAAAACCGGGGCAUACGGGUUCGAUCCCCGUUCGGGAGACAA